GAUGAACGCUAGCGGGAGGCUUAAUACAUGCAAGUCGAGGGGUAACAGGGGCUUCGGCCCGCUGACGACCGGCGCACGGGUGAGUAACGCGUACGCAACUUACCUCCAAGCGAGGGAUAGCCCUGGGAAACUGGGAUUAAUUCCUCAUAGUCCUUUAGAAUGGCAUCAUUCUUUAGGUAAAGCUCAGGCGGUACAGGAUGGGCGUGCGUCUGAUUAGGUAGUUGGUAUGGGUAACGGCCUACCAAGCCUGCGAUCAGUAGCUGGCGUGAGAGCGCGACCAGCCAUACUGGAACUGAGACACGGUCCAGACUCCUACGGGAGGCAGCAGUAGGGAAUAUUGGUCAAUGGACGCAAGUCUGAACCAGCCAUCCCGCGUGAAGGAUGACGGUCCUAUGGAUUGUAAACUUCUUUUAUGUACCAAGAAUGUGUCCCUCGUGAGGGAUUUUGACGGUAGUACAUGAAUAAGCAUCGGCUAACUCCGUGCCAGCAGCCGCGG
rnacentral:rRNA from 1 species